rnacentral:rRNA from 1 species
UACAGAGGGGGCAAGCGUUGUUCGGAAUUACUGGGCGUAAAGGGCGCGUAGGCGGCCUGCUAAGUCGAACGUGAAAUCCCUGGGCUCAACCCAGGAACUGCGUCCGAUACUGGUUGGCUUGAAUCCGGGAGAGGGAUGUGGAAUUCCAGGUGUAGUGGUGAAAUGCGUAGAGAUCCGGAGGAACCCCAGAGGCGAAGGCGGCAUUCUGGCUCGCAACUGACGCUCAGACACGACAGCAUGGGGAGCGAACGGG